rnacentral:rRNA from 1 species
GACGAUGAUCCGGUGCUUGCGCCGGGGAUUAGUGGCGAACGGGUGAGUAACACGUGAGUAACCUGCCCUUGACUCUGGGAUAAGCCUGGGAAACUGGGUCUAAUACCGGAUAUGACUCCUCAUCGCAUGGUGGGGGGUGGAAAGCUUUUUGUGGUUUUGGAUGGACUCGCGGCCUAUCAGCUUGUUGGUGGGGUAAUGGCCUACCAAGGCGACGACGGGUAGCCGGCCUGAGAGGGUGACCGGCCACACUGGGACUGAGACACGGCCCAGACUCCUACGGGAGGCAGCAGUGGGGAAUAUUGCACAAUGGGCGAAAGCCUGAUGCAGCGACGCCGCGUGAGGGAUGACGGCCUUCGGGUUGUAAACCUCUUUCAGUAGGGAAGAAGCCCUCUUUGGGGGUGACGGUACUUGCAGAAGAAGCGCCGGCUAACUACGUGCCAGCAGCCGCGGUAAUACGUAGGGCGCAAGCGUUAUCCGGAAUUAUUGGGCGUAAAGAGCUCGUAGGCGGUUUGUCGCGUCUGCUGUGAAAGACCGGGGCUCAACUCCGGUUCUGC